UCUAUUUCCAUCGACCUUCCUCCGAUUCUUCAAUCACAAAUUCCCUUAUAAACACAAAAAGCUCUCUCCAGAUCUUCACAAAAAUACUUGAUACAAUUUCAGAUCCCGAUCCACCGACAAUGUCAACCACCGUCCUCCCGAUCUCCACCACCUCUGUCGCCGCCGCCGGAUCCAUCGAGUCCCAGGCCUCCCAGCCUCAGAUCGCCACCCUGGCCUUCCGCGCCUUCAUCAACCACAUCACCGACACCGUCCGCAACGGCCUCUCCCAGCGCCGCCCCUGGGCCGAGCUUGCCGACCGCUCCGCCUUCGCCAAGCCCGAGUCCUUCUCCGACGCCACCCUCCGCAUCCGCGUCAACUACCUCGCCGUCGUCGCCCUCAUCGUCGCCGUCUCCCUCUUCACCCACCCCUUCUCCCUCGGCCUCCUCGCCGCCUGUCUCUUCCUCUACCACUGCCGCCCCUCCGAUCAGCCCCUCGUUAUCUUCGGCCGGACUUUCUCCGACACCCAAACCCUAAAAGGCCUCGUCGGCCUCAGCGUCUUCAUCGUCUUCCUCACCUCCGUCGGGGUGUGUUACAAGGGAUUGAAGAGAUUUCAUACUGUGUUUGUAGAGAGCAAGGUUGCGAAUCACCUCGGAUGAAAGAAGCCAUCGACCAUCAAAACUCGUUCCUCGUGCUUCAACCCGAGACCAUGGAGAAGCUCCAGCGACAACACAAUCAGCACUGAGUAGGAGGCUGAAACCAUGGCAGUGAUUGAACCUAAGUUGAUUCCAGCAAUCGAUCCCCAGAAAGUUGAAAUAAAAUGAAUAAUAUCAAGAAUCUGAUCAAUUUCAAUUUCGGAACUGCAAAGAAGCAAUAGGACUGGAUACUGGACCAAGAAUAGAAGCAAUUGUUGACCGGAAAAAAAAAAAAAGCAAUUGAAACUCUGACUCUGAUUCCUACCCGUUGGUCCCACCAUGUCAGAAUUGCAAAGAAGCCACGCUCAGCAAAACUGAGACAAUUAAGGGGAAAGCAACCCCUCUACAGGGCACUGACCCAAAAAAAAGUGGCUGCAGCGUGGCAAUUACCUAUUGACACGCACAUGUGUGUCCUUUGGCCCAAAUAUGUCACGAAUGUGUCUGUGGCCAUUGCCAAUAAUUGUAGUAGUGUACACAUGAAGAUAUAUAGCUGGCGAAGUAUUUCGACCUAGCUUGUCGAACUUGUGGAUGAGUGUUGUGUUUUGGUGAGGGCACACAGCACACACUCGUAUUAAACCUCUCUUGUUAUGUAUCAUUUACUCUAUCGGAAAUAUGCAUAUACAUGAUAAUGAUGUAGAAAUGAUCGAGGUAGCUAGACAUCGAUAUAACUUGUAACCUGGCCAAUUUGUAGCUUUCAUUUUGA